rnacentral:rRNA from 1 species
CCUACGGGUGGCAGCAGUGAGGAAUAUUGGUCAAUGGGCGCGAGCCUGAACCAGCCAAGUAGCGUGAAGGAUGACUGCCCUACGGGUUGUAAACUUCUUUUAUAAGGGAAUAAAGUGAGGCACGUGUGCCUUUUUGUAUGUAUCUUAUGAAUAAGGAUCGGCUAACUCCGUGACAGCAGCCGCGGUAAUACGGAGGAUCCGAGCGUUAUCCGGAUUUAUUGGGUUUAAAGGGAGCGUAGGUGGGUUGUUAAGUCAGUUGUGAAAGUUUGCGGCUCAACCGUGAAAUUGCAAUUGAUACUGGCAGCCUUGAGUACAGUGGAAGUAGGCGGAAUUCGUGGUGUAGCGGUGAAAUGCUUAGAUAUCACGAAGAACUCCGAUUGCGAAGGCAGCCUACUAAACUGCCACUGACACUGAUGCUCGAAAGUGUGGGUAUCAAACAGGAUUAGAUACCCCAGUAGUC